ACAGUAAUUCCUCCGUCCAACAAAAAAUGUCUUAAUUUUGAUCAAAUUUGAAUACAUCUACAUACUAAGUCAUGUCUAGAUAGAUUCAAAAUUUGACAAACUUGAGACAUCUUUUGUUGGACGGAGGGAGUAGUAU
rfam:Brachypodium distachyon strain Bd21 chromosome 5, whole genome shotgun sequence.